GAUGAACGCUGGCGGCGUGCCUCAAACAUGCAAGUCGAGCGAGGCUAUGAGUUACCGCAAGGUAAGGCAUAGCCUAGCGGCGAACGGGUGAGUAACACGUGGGUAACCUACCUGGAAGACAGGGAUAACGAUUCGAAAGGGUCGCUAAUACCUGAUAAUAUCCAUCUGCCGGAUGGCGGAGGGGAAGAAAGGGGAAACCCGCUUUCAGAUGGGCCCGCGUCCCAUCAGCUAGUUGGUAAGGUAAAGGCUUACCAAGGCGACGACGGGUAGCCGGUCUGAGAGGAUGUACGGCCACACUGGGACUGAGAUACGGCCCAGACUCCUACGGGAGGCAGCAGUUGGGAAUCUUAGGCAAUGGACGAAAGUCUGACCUAGCGACGCCGCGUGAGGGGAAGAAGGCCUUCGGGUUGUAAACCGUCUGUCAUGGGGGAAGAAGGAAGUGACGGUACCCCAAGAGGAAGCCCCUGCCUAACUACGUG
rnacentral:rRNA from 1 species